rnacentral:lncRNA from 1 species
ACGGAGUGUACAAGGGAACAAUGUGUCAACUACAGACGGAGUGUACAAGGGAACAAUGUGACAAAAUCAGACGGAGUGUACAAGGGAACAAUGUGACGACUACAGACGGAGUGUACAAGGGAACAAUGUGACAACUACAGACGGAGUGUACAAGGGAACAAUGUGACAGCUACAGACAGAGUGUACAAGGGAACAAUGUGACGACUACAGACGGAGUGUACAAGGGAACAAUGUGACGACUACAGACGGAGUGUACAAGGGAACAAUGUGACAGCUACAGACAGAGUGUACAAGGGAACAAUGUGACAUGUAGUGAACUAUGACGGGACUACGCUUCUAUCACACCGACAGCGUUGUUGCGUCAAAUGUUACGCGACAUCAUUUGGAUAUGUGCGCAACAAAAAAUUCAACGUUCACCUUCUGCUACCAUUUCUGUCAAGCCGUCUACAGCUUACAAUUAGAUGCAUACGUCACGCAUUGGCAGACAGCCCUCCCUUUUUCCGACUGUACCUACGCUGCUGUACCAAGGAGGAGGUUUCAUGCUUGCUACGCAGUCUCAAUACCUGCACCGUAGCUGUCUAGCAGUACUACCAAUAAUGUUUUUCACAUGUGAAUUCUAAACUCUCAUUGUUAUGCCUGCCAGGUGUUAGAUUCUCACACACACAGUGUUUACGUCAUGUGUUUUUAACUGGCUGCUCCACUGUCUCAAUCCACCAGCUACCAGGUACCAAGAAGGUCGUUGACUGUGGAAGUUCCCUUCUGUCACUGUCAGCUGGGACAUUCUCCCACAUAAUAGUGUUUACUGCCCCCUGUGUUUUUUUGCAGGACUGUAGUCCCAACUCCAGAGGGGGGGGGGUCUACCGUGUCACCAGGUAAUUGGAAGGUAUUUUUUUUUCAUGCUGAGCGACACCCAAACUCUUGACACCCUGUCACCCACUUUCUUUGACCUACUUAUGCCUGCUGUAGAGAUGAGGACUUCUGAAACUAGGUCCAGAGUGAUUCUGCCGAAAGACCCCCCCCCCCUCUCCCCCUCUCUCCCCCCCGCUCUCUCCCCCUCUCUCCCCCUCCUUGGGGGGAAGCUGGAGAACAACAACUUGCACAAGGGCCCUGUUGCCACACAACGCAUUCUACCAACGUUACACACACACCCCACCUACCCUCCCUUUCUUCCAU